rnacentral:lncRNA from 1 species
AGCCGUAUUGCAGGUUGCAGAUCUUAGGAGAUAACUUAGAAGAUAUGAUGAGCUGUUGCUGUAGGCACACAGCACACUUGAGUGAGGAGUAGGUAUUCAAAGUAAAACAAACCGUCACGAUAUUGCCCUUGCUAGUUCCUGAAUUAAUGAGAAAACAUAGAGAGAUUAGUAAAAUAAAUCAGAUAAAAGUAUGAAAGAUGAGGGUAGAAGAAGAAAAUCUUGUGGCUAAUAAGAAGAGAUGUGAUGGCCUGAAGCAGCUGGCGAUGUAGUGUCGAGGAACUUUGGUGUAGCUGUGGUUGGUAAUUGAGCAAAAGAACUUUAAAAACAGGCAGACACUAAAGGACUCAAGAUGUCAUCUCAGUCAACUAAUGUAGAUCUCACAAUUUCCUAAAGGAUUGCAGAAGAUUCUAAAACUCUCACCGGAAAAUUUUGAAAAGUGCAUUUGUUAUUACCAGUACUGUUGAUAUUAUUUAAGGAACUUGUAUGUUAUGUUAAUAAUAUUCAGACACAUUUGUUAUACUUAAUCAGUAAAAAGAUAUCAGGAUUUUCU